rnacentral:rRNA from 1 species
AGCAGCCGCGGUAAUUCCAGCUCCAAUAGCGUAUAUUAAAGUUGUUGCAGUUAAAAAGCUCGUAGUUGAAUUUCAGGAUCAAAUUGUCGGUCGUGCCUCGGUACGUACUGGUAUUAUUGGUUCCUCCCUUCUGACGAACCACGAUGUCAUUAAUUUGGUGUCAUGGGAAAUCAGGACUGUUACUUUGAAAAAUUAGAGUGUUUAAAGCAGGCUCGCGCUUGAAUACAUUAGCAUGGAAUAAUGAAAUAGGACGUUUGAUUCUAUUUUGUUGGUUUCUAGGAUCGACGUAAUGAUUAGUAGGGAUAGUUGGGGCAUUAGUAUUCAAUUGUCAGAGGUGAAAUUCUUGGAUUUAUUGAAGACUAACUACUGCGAAAGCAUUUGCCAAGGAUGGUUUUCAUUAAUCAAGAACGAAAGUUAGGGGAUCGAAGACGAUCAGAUACCGUGUAGUCUUAACCAUAAACUAUAGCCGACUAGGGAUCGGAUGAUGUUAAUUUUAU